rnacentral:rRNA from 1 species
CAGAGGGUGCAAACGUUGUUCGGAAUUACUGGGCGUAAAGCGCGUGUAGGCGGCCCUGCAAGUCGGAUGUGAAAUCCCACGGCUCAACCGUGGAAGUGCAUUCGAAACUGCAGGGCUAGAGUCCUGGAGAGGAAGGUGGAAUGCUUGGUGUAGAGGUGAAAUUCGUAGAUAUCAAGCGGAACACCGGUGGCGAAGGCGGCCUUCUGGACAGUGACUGACGCUGAGACGCGAAAGCGUGGGGAGCAAACAGGAUUAGAUACCCUGGUAGUCCACGCCGUAAACGAUGAGUGCUAGGUGUCACGGGCUUUGACCCUCGUGGUGCCGAAGCUAACGCGUUAAGCACUCCGCCUGGGGAGUACGGCCGCAAGGCUA